rnacentral:rRNA from 1 species
CGCGUAGGCGGCUAGGCAAGUCCCGGGUGAAAUCCCCUCGGCUCAACCGAGGAACUGCCUUGGAAACUGCCUGGCUCGAGGCCGGGAGAGGGUAGCGGAAUUCCCAGUGUAGCGGUGAAAUGCGUAGAUACUGGGAGGAACACCAGUGGCGAAGGCGGCUACCUGGACCGGUUCUGACGCUGAUGCGCGAAAGCGGUGGGGAGCAAACA